rnacentral:lncRNA from 1 species
UCAGCACUGUCCUCUUUGAACCAAAAUGUCUCCAAAAACAGGAUUCUAAUUUUUACAUAAUAUUUCCCCCAGAAGCCCAACCAUUAAAGCUACUUUUCCUGGAACAAAAGUGUUUUUGACGCCGUGAAUCCUUUGGACCAGUUUCCAGAAUCCUCUUCAGGUAGCGCUUCUCACCAGCGUUUCCCUUUUUAUUUUGGAUAACUAGGUUCAGUCCGAAUCAUUCUAUCUCACUGGUCAAGCUCAGCAUUCUUUUUCCUUCAUAAAUUAUAAAAGGGAAGAUAUGUGUGAGCUAAAAAUGCAGAAGUUAGAAACUGGGCACGAAUGUAAGGAACACAAGAUCUCAAACCUACUUUGACUGGAUUUUCUACUUUAAUCCAUGUGUGUUGGAUGCAUCUAGAACUCUUGGCGGUGUUAUCUGAUAUCAGCUAUUCAUUCCAUGAUACAAGAACCCACAAGAAGGUCAUGCAAAGUUUAUUAAAGUAUAAAGCAGAAGCAGCAAAAGCUUUUGGGUGUUCCUUGAGUUUAAUUGUUCAUUGUAAAAAGUGGCUCAUGAGGCGAAUGAAAGGAGGUGUGUUCAUGUGGAGGAAUUAUUAUAAUAUGAAAAGAGAUAAAUAUAUAAAAAUUUAAAAUUUCUUUUUGUUCAAGUUCAAAUAUCACAUCACCCACUUCCACCCUAUUCUUAUUAUCAUAAAUAC